AGCUCUGAGCGCGACCCUACCCGGCUCGGGCCCGCAGCAACCCCGACUGUCCGAGAGCCUCUCCCCAAGCAAGGCUCUGCGCCGCCCUCUGAGCCCACCUCCUGGCCACAACGCUGCCUGCGCUUCUCCAGCCCAGGCCGGAAGCCCUAUGCUGCCUCCCGAAGCCGUUGGAACUCAAGGUCCCCUUUCACUCCCUUCUUGAGUACCCCUAGCACUUGCUGGGUUGGUGGAGCAGGGAACUCUCGGUUCUCCACUCAGGACUUUCUGGAAGCCCAUCUUCGUAUGCUCACCAGCCCACCCUCCUACGCUGGUCAGAGUGAGAUUGCUAACCUCAAGACCCCAUUCAAUGCCAGCUUUCAACUACUGCUGAAGACCAAUGUAGGUCCUGGAAUAGAAGAACUGCAGAGUAUGCAGACAAAAGCUACCAUGUCCGCUUGGAGUGACGCCCAGACACGCACAGAGAUGUACAGGAAGCCAAGGAGAGUGGGAUCCACCAGAGUACAGUACAAGUACAGAGUACAGUGCAAGAUGCCCAGU
rnacentral:lncRNA from 1 species